rnacentral:rRNA from 1 species
AACGAACGCUGGCGGCAGGCUUAACACAUGCAAGUCGAGCGCCCCGCAAGGGGAGCGGCAGACGGGUGAGUAACGCGUGGGAAUCUACCCAACCCUACGGAAUAACGCAUGGAAACGUGUGCUAAUACCGUAUACGCCCUUUUGGGGAAAGAUUUAUCGGGGACGGAUGAGCCCGCGUUGGAUUAGCUAGUUGGUGGGGUAAAGGCCUACCAAGGCGACGAUCCAUAGCUGGUCUGAGAGGAUGAUCAGCCACAUUGGGACUGAGACACGGCCCAAACUCCUACGGGAGGCAGCAGUGGGGAAUAUUGGACAAUGGGCGCAAGCCUGAUCCAGCCAUGCCGCGUGAGUGAUGAAGGCCCUAGGGUUGUAAAGCUCUUUCACCGGAGAAGAUAAUGACGGUAUCCGGAGAAGAAGCCCCGGCUAACUUCGUGCCAGCCGCCGCCGUAA